GCUGGGUGCAGUUGUGCAUACCUGUAAUCCCAGCAGCUCUGGAGGCUGAGACAGGAGGAUCAUGAGUUCAGCUCCAGCCUCAGUAACUUAGUGAGGCCCUAACUCAGUGAGACCUGUCUCUA
rnacentral:sRNA from 1 species